rnacentral:rRNA from 1 species
GAUAAACGCUGGCGGCGUGCAUAACACAUGCAAGUCGAACGAAGUGGCGAACGGGUGAGUAACACGUGAGUAACCUGCCUUACACAAGGGGCUAGCCUUUGGAAACGUAGAAUAAUACCCUAUAGUGUAAGAUGAACUUGCGUCUGCUUAGCUAGUUGGUGAGAUAAAACCCCACCAAGGCGACGGUCAGUAGCCGGAUUGAGAGAGUGAACGGCGAGAUUGGGACAGAGACACAGCCCAAACGCUAAGGGAGGCAGCAGUGGGGAAUUUUGCACAAUGGGGGAAACCCAGAUGCAGAGAAGCCGCGUGAGUUAGAAGGCCUUGGGGUUGUAAAGCUCUGUUAAACGGGACGUUCUUGGAUAGUGAGAAGGAUUGAAGGUACCGGAAUAGAAAGCCACGGCUAACUACGUGCCAGAAGCCGCGGUAAUAC